CCUACGGGAGGCAGCAGUGGGGAAUAUUGCACAAUGGGGGAAACCCUGAUGCAGCAACGCCGCGUGAAGGAAGACGGUUUUCGGAUUGUUAACUUCUGUUCUUAGUGAAGAAUAAUGACGGUAGCUCAGGAGCAAGCCACGGCUAACUACGUGCCAGCCGCCGCGGUAAUACGUAGGUGGCACGCGUUGUCCGGCAUUACUGGGUGUAAAGGGAGCGCAGGCGGGAAGACAAGUCAGCUGUGAAAACUACGGGCUUAACUUGUAGACUGCAGUUGAAACUGGUUUUCUUGAGUGGAAUAGAGGUUGGCGGAAGUCCGAGUGUAGCGGUGAAAUGCGUAGAUAUUCGGAGGAACACCGGUGGCGAAGGCGGCAAGCUGGGCUUUAACUGACGCUGAGGCUCGAAAGUGUGGGGAGCAAACAGGAUUAGAUACCCCAGUAGUC
rnacentral:rRNA from 1 species